rnacentral:tRNA from 1 species
GUGGGUGUAGUUCAAUGGUAGGACGUUACCUUGCCAAGGUAAAGAUUGUGGGUUCGAGCCCCAUCACUCACUCCA